GUUAGACCUCAUUACCUACCAGAGUAGGUAAUCCAUCGGUUUGCUGCCGAGAACCACAGCCUCAGAUUUAGAGGUGCUGAUCCUUAUCCCAGCUGCUUCACAC